CGGCAUGCCUUACACAUGCAAGUCGAACGGCAGCACGGGAGCAAUCCUGGUGGCGAGUGGCGAACGGGUGAGUAAUAUAUCGGAACGUGCCCAGUCGUGGGGGAUAACGCAGCGAAAGCUGUGCUAAUACCGCAUACGAUCUAUGGAUGAAAGCGGGGGAUCGCAAGACCUCGCGCGAUUGGAGCGGCCGAUAUCAGAUUAGGUAGUUGGUGGGGUAAAGGCUCACCAAGCCGACGAUCUGUAGCUGGUCUGAGAGGACGACCAGCCACACUGGAACUGAGACACGGUCCAGACUCCUACGGGAGGCAGCAGUGGGGAAUUUUGGACAAUGGGCGCAAGCCUGAUCCAGCAAUGCCGCGUGCAGGAUGAAGGCCUUCGGGUUGUAAACUGCUUUUGUACGGAACGAAAGGGCUCUGGUUAAUACCUGGGGCAUAUGACGGUACCGUAAGAAUAAGCACCGGCUAACUACGUGCCAGCAGCCGCGGUAAUACGUAGGGUGCGAGCGUUAAUCGGAAUUACUGGGCGUAAAGCGUGCGCAGGCGGUAAUGCAAGACAGAUGUGAAAUCCCCGGGCUUAACCUGGGAACUGCAUUUGUGACUGCAUUGCUGGAGUGCGGCAGAGGGGGAUGGAAUUCCGCGUGUAGCAGUGAAAUGCGUAGAUAUGCGGAGGAACACCGAUGGCGAAGGCAAUCCCCUGGGCCUGCACUGACGCUCAUGCACGAAAGCGUGGGGAGCAAACAGGAUUAGAUACCCUGGUAGUCCACGCCCUAAACGAUGUCAACUGGUUGUUGGGUCUUAACUGACUCAGUAACGAAGCUAAGNCGUGAAGUUGACCGCCUGGG
rnacentral:rRNA from 1 species